rnacentral:lncRNA from 1 species
UAUCACUCCUUCUGAGGAGGAGGUAAUCAAUCUGAGUCCUCGCCGCCGAACUCUUGAAGGUGACCAAAUGCUCCUCCCUCUUCUGAAAUGCCGAGUUCACAAUCAAAAGCUCGGAAGACCUGGCGAAAUCAAGUAGUGACGUGCCUCCUCUAUUCCUAACCCCAAAGCCGAAGCCACCGUGCACCUCACAAUAACCCCCAGCAUCAGCCCCAAUAUGACCAUUAAAGUCCCC